rnacentral:tRNA from 1 species
GGGCCCGUAGCUCAGUCAGGAUAGAGCCUUUGAAAACUUAACACAGCAUCCAAAGCACCGGGCUUUUAACCCGGUGGUCACGGGUUCAAUUCCCGUCGGGCCCGCCA